AUACUUUAAAGUAAAAUCUACUACCUUAAUAUCUUCAAUAUUACGCUCGAUUAAGCUAUUAAAGUA
rnacentral:tRNA from 1 species